AUUGAACGCUGGCGGCAGGCCUAACACAUGCAAGUCGAGCGGUAGAGAGGUGCUUGCAUCUCUUGAGAGCGGCGGACGGGUGAGUAAUGCCUAGGAAUCUGCCUAGUGGUGGGGGAUAACGUUCGGAAACGGACGCUAAUACCGCAUACGUCCUACGGGAGAAAGCGGGGGAGUCUUCGGACCUCGCGCCAUUAGAUGAGCCUAGGUCGGAUUAGCUAGUUGGUGAGGUAAUGGCUCACCAAGGCGACGAUCCGUAACUGGUCUGAGAGGAUGAUCAGUCACACUGGAACUGAGACACGGUCCAGACUCCUACGGGAGGCAGCAGUGGGGAAUAUUGGACAAUGGGC
rnacentral:rRNA from 1 species